ensembl:snRNA U7 U7 small nuclear RNA
AAGUGUUACAGCUCUUUUAGAAUUUGUCUCUUUUGAAUUUCUGAUUUGGGCCAGAAAGCCCCC